CUGGCAACUCACCAACUGCAAUUUGGUCUCUCUUUUAUUUCUGUAGCCGAACAGCGGAAGCAAAAUCUUCGUGCCUCUUUUGGAACUAGGAAACCAACUGAAGCACCUUCCUACUGGUUUUCUUCGAAUUCAAGGAAAAGGCCACUGAACAAGAUGCUGUUGAAAUCUUGAUGUAUGAGCGUUUACGUUUUGCAUACGGCUUGCUUGAGGUGUUGAUCUUUGUGACUUCUAUCACCAUAUGGAAUAAAGGCAUCAUUAGCUAAAUAAUUCUUUCGUUUCCCUAUAGCAGUUUUUACUGGGAGAAAUAUGUUUUGCUGAAAGGAGAAACCAAGGUACUUCAAAUUUCACUGUUUGAAUAGUAUUUGAUUUAUAUAUUCUUUUUUCAUUAAUUUCAAAUUCAUUAGAAAUGUUUACUGAUUGCACAA